GGCGACGCACGACCCGGGGGCCGUAGGCGGGGAGGUCUUUCCCGCAGAGUGGCCGCCAGACGACGGAAAGUUUUUUGCAUGCAGCCCUUCCAGCGUGUCCUUCCCUCGCCGGCUCCCUGUCGUCCACGGCAAUUCCAGAAAUUGAGAUUGCUGAACUGAGCACCACGUCAUGUGGCAUACAGCCAGAGUGCAGCCUGCUGCUGGUCAGAGGUCAGGGGUCAAAGGUGGACGCUGACCUCAAGCUGGUGCCAAAGACAUGAGGACAUGUGAGAACUUGACCUGCUGAUCCAUCAGGGAAGAAGAGCCACACCCAAACAGUGCUGAUUCAGAGGCAGCAAAUGUUUCAGAAGAGAUUCCUGCAUUGGAUGGCAGGUUGGACUAAAUGCCUUUCAAGGUCCUUUCAAAGAAGCCAUAAUUACCGGAGGUGCUGAUCUUUUUGCUCGGACUCUCCUGCCACCCCUCCCGCGAUCAACAACGUGUGUCGGAGAGCUGUGGUAACACAAGGGAGUCGUGUCAACCUUGUCUCAUGCACCAGCUGAACUUGGUGACACCAGCAACUUGGAUCCCAACAGAUGGGGUGUUACGACUGCACUGCCAGGGAGGCUGCCCGGGGCUGGACCGCGCUUCUCUCAAGGUGCUUUGUGUGCACUGUGGGGCAGCUUGACCUGAGCGAAGGCAGCAAACACGCCUCAAGUCGGAACCCCAGCCGGAGUCAAUAACACAGUGGUUCUCAAACUUCAGCCUGUGUCUGAGUCACCUGCGAGACGUGUUAAAACAUAGAGUCUUAUAUCCGUCUCCCUGGAGACUCUGAUUCAGCCGGUCCUGGGCAGGGAUGGUGAUUUUGCAUGUCUAGCAAGUUCCUAAGUGCUGCUGGUUGGGAGAUCACACUUUGAAAACAACAAGCCUACUCCAGAACCUUGACUUAGAAAGCUCUUCCUCUCCAGGUCUUCUGUGCCCUCAGGGACUUCAGAGCUGGGGAGAAAAGUGAAUGGAAGCCAGAAGAUGGAAACAACCCACAUAUCCAUCAACAGGCGAAUGGACAGGCAGAAGGCGGUAUAUCCAUACAGUGGAAUACUAUUCCACCAGGAAAAGGAACUCGAUACUGACACACGCUACAACAUGGAUGAACUGGGAAGGCAUUAUGCGGAAUGGAAGCAGCCAGCUGGGGCCUGCUGGGGCCACAUAGCGCACAAUUCCAUGGAUAGGAGAUGCCCAGAAGAAGCAAAUUCGUAGAGACAGAAAGCAAAUUGGUGGUUGCCAGGAGGUAGGAUGGAAUGGGGAGCCACUGCCUAUUGGAUUUCCAUUUGGGAUGAUGCAAACAUUCUGGAACUAGACAAAGGUGAUGGGUGGACAACACUGUGAAUGUACCUAAUGCAACUGAACUGAACUCUUUAAAAUGAUUCACAUAGUCAGUUUUAUGUCAUGUGUCUUUUACUGCAAUAAAAAGUAA